AUGAGGGCCAAGUGGAAGAAGAAGAGGAUGAGGAGGCUCAAGAGGAAGCGCCGAAAGAUGAGGCAGCGAUCCAACCCCUCUCUCUCCCCUCUCCUCUCCUUUCUCUCUAUUUCUCUAUUCUUUCUCCUCUCUCCUCUCCUUUUUCCUUCCGCCACCUACCACCCACCAUCACGGCCUCCUCCUCGCCGCCGCACGCCAGGGGGCGCGCCUCCGCAGCCUCCCCUCGCCCUCCCCUCGCCGUCCACCGCGGCCCCGCUCCCACCGGUGGCCGCCUUCCCUGCUGCGGCCUCCUCUCGCCCUCCCCUCGCCGAUCGACUCGCCGCCCCCACCGCCCACUCCUCCUCCGCGGCGCAGCACCAGGGGCCGGUGCUCUCGCUGGCGUUCCUCUCCAAGCUGCUCGACGCCGUGGACGCCCUCGCCAGGCCCCCCGCCGACCGCCUCGCCGCCGACCUACUCGACCGCUCCGUCAAGGCACUCGACGUGCUCAACGCGGUCUUCCUCGCGCUCGCCUCACUCCGGAGCUCCCACCGCGUCGCGCUCACCGCCGCGUCCUGCUUCCUCGCCGCCGACGCGCCGCUGCUGCACCGCCGAGGAGGCCUGGGACGCGCCGGGGAGGAAGCGGAAGGGCCCGGAGCUGGACGUCGCGAGGAGCAUCGAGCUGCUGGCGAGCUCGUUCCUGAAGAUCGAGCGGAGACCAUGGCCAAGACGCAGCUGCAGAUCGCCAGGCUCUUCGCCAAGCGGCUCAAGGAGUGCGUCGGCGGUAAUGGUGGCAGCCCGUGGAGCUGCCCUCCUCCCUCGACGUGUUGCAGGAGCUCGGGGCGAGGCCGGGGCUAG
rnacentral:rRNA from 1 species